UAAGGAAUAUUGGACAAUGGUCGGAAGACUGAUCCAGCCAUGCCGCGUGAAGGACGAAGGCGCUCUGCGUUGUAAACUUCUUUUGUACGGGAACAAAACCGGCCCUGCGGGGUCGUCUGAGGGUACCGUAAGAAUAAGCACCGGCUAACUCCGUGCCAGCAGCCGCGGUAAUACGGAGGGUGCAAGCGUUAUCCGGAAUCACUGGGUUUAAAGGGUGCGUAGGCGGUCUGUUAAGUCAGUUGUGAAAUUCCCUCGCUCAACGAGUGGGACUGCGAUUGAUACUGAUGGACUUGAAUCAGGUUGAGGUAGGCGGAAUGUGACAUGUAGCGGUGAAAUGCUUAGAUAUGUCAUAGAACACCGAUUGCGAAGGCAGCUUGCUGGACCUGUAUUGACGCUGAGGCACGAAAGCGUGGGGAGCAAACAGG
rnacentral:rRNA from 1 species